rnacentral:rRNA from 1 species
UACAGAGGUCUCAAGCGUUGUUCGGAUUCAUUGGGCGUAAAGGGCGCGUAGGCGGUGAAGUAAGUCUGGUGUGAAAUCUAGGAGCUUAACUCCUAAACUGCACUGGAUACUGUUUUGCUUGAGGACUGGAGAGGAGACUGGAAUUCAUGGUGUAGCAGUGAAAUGCGUAGAGAUCAUGAGGAAGACCAGUGGCGAAGGCGGGUCUCUGGACAGUUCCUGACACUGAGACACGAAGGCCAGGGGAGCAAACGGG